GGUAGGAAUUCAUGCUCCUGUAUUCUCAGAUCGUUAGGAUUCCAAUUGUGCCUAAAUAUAUCUUGUAUUCUGCGAAGAAGAACCUGAGAGAGGUUGAAGAUGGGAGGAGAUGAUUUUGAUUGGAAUACUGAUGAUGAGCUUGAAAUUGAGAACUAUAACUCUUCAUGUUCAUGUUUAACCCUUCCUAUUG